rnacentral:rRNA from 1 species
GGUACGUGAGCUGGGUUUAAAACGUCGUGAGACAGUUUGGUCCCUAUCUUCCGUGGGCGCUGCAGAUUUGAGGAAGCCUGCUCCUAGUACGAGAGGACCGGAGUGGACACACCUCUGGUGUAUCGGUUGUCACGCCAGUGGCAUUGCCGAGUAGCUAAGUGUGGAAGAGAUAACCGCUGAAAGCAUCUAAGCGGGAAACUCGUUUCAAGAUGAGAUCUGCCGGGGCCUUGAGCCCCCUGAAGAGUCGUUCAAGACCAGGACGUUGAUAGGCUGGGUGUGGAAGCGCAGUAAUGCGUUAAGCUAACCAGUACUAAUUGCUCGUGAGGCUUGACCCU